rnacentral:rRNA from 1 species
UACGGAGGGUGCGAGCGUUGUCCGGAAUCACUGGGCGUAAAGGGCGCGUAGGCGGCUUCUUAAGCGUGCGGUGAAAGCCCGGGGCUCAACCCCGGGUCGGCCGUGCGAACUGGGAGCUCGAGCACUGUAGAGGCAGGUGGAAUUCCGGGUGUAGCGGUGGAAUGCGUAGAGAUCCGGAAGAACACCGGUGGCGAAGGCGGCCUGCUGGGCAGUGGCUGACGCUGAGGCGCGACAGCGUGGGGGAGCAAACAGG